GGGUGCGAUCAUACCAGCACUAAUGCACCGGAUCCCAUCAGGACUCCGAAGUUAAGCGUGCUUGGGCGAGAGUAGUACUAGGAUGGGUGACCCCCUGGGAAGUCCUCGUGUUGCACCCC
rfam:Erythranthe guttata cultivar DTN x IM62 scaffold_350_contig_2, whole genome shotgun sequence.